AUUGAACGCUGGCGGCAGGCCUAACACAUGCAAGUCGAACGGUAAAAGGAAGAAGCUUGCUUCUUUGCUGACGAGUGGCGGACGGGUGAGUAAUGUCUGGGAAACUGCCUGAUGGAGGGGGAUAACUACUGGAAACGGUAGCUAAUACCGCAUAACGUCGCAAGACCAAAGAGGGGGACCUUCGGGCCUCUUGCCAUCGGAUGUGCCCAGAUGGGAUUAGCUAGUAGGUGGGGUAACGGCUCACCUAGGCGACGAUCCCUAGCUGGUCUGAGAGGAUGACCAGCCACACUGGAACUGAGACACGGUCCAGACUCCUACGGGAGGCAGCAGUGGGGAAUAUUGCACAAUGGGCGCAAGCCUGAUGCAGCCAAGCCGCGUGUAUGAAGAAGGCCUUCGGGUUGUAAAGUACUUUCAGCGGGGAGGAAGGGAGUAAAGUUAAUACCUUUACUCAUUGACGUUACCCGCAGAAGAAGCACCGGCUAACUCCGUG
rnacentral:rRNA from 1 species